UGAGGAAUAUUGGUCAAUGGGCGCUAGCCUGAACCAGCCAAGUAGCGUGAAGGAUGACUGCCCUAUGGGUUGUAAACUUCUUUUAUAUGGGAAUAAAGUGCAGUAUGUAUACUGCUUUGCAUGUACCUUAUGAAUAAGGAUCGGCUAACUCCGUGCCAGCAGCCGCGGUAAUACGGAGGAUCCGAGCGUUAUCCGGAUUUAUUGGGUUUAAAGGGAGCGUAGGCGGGUUGUUAAGUCAGUUGUGAAAGUUUGCGGCUCAACCGUAAAAUUGCAGUUGAUACUGGCAUCCUUGAGUACAGUAGAGGUAGGCGGAAUUCGUGGUGUAGCGGUGAAAUGCUUAGAUAUCACGAAGAACUCCGAUUGCGAAGGCAGCCUGCUGGACUGUAACUGACGCUGAUGCUCGAAAGUGUGGGUAUCAAACA
rnacentral:rRNA from 1 species